CUCUCCCUGUGCCAUAUGAGUUCACAGUGAAAAUAUGGUCAUGGAUUUGGCAUCAGGAAGUAGACCAUCACUAGAUACUGAAACUACAACUUCAAAAGAUACUAUGACUGUUACAAAUUUAUGGAGAAGGAAACCAAGUUUCUGGAAGGAUAAGAGACUUGUGAGCAUCCUACAAUGAGGUCUUCUGACAAAACCCAGUGCUUUUCUUCUGCAUGAUAAAUCUUCCUGGCUCAGCUCUAGAGUUCCCACAGUGUUUUACCCUGACACAUCUUUCAAGACAUGACUCGGCUGCCUGAAGACUCCUAAGACUUGAUUUGGACCAUUUGCCUUUUCCUUG